UGCCUUCUUUCCAUUGUUCAGUUUCGGCCAUGGUUGGACAAUUUAUCUUGAAGGAAUAUUCACGUUACGACGCCGAAGAAAAUGAGUUGUUGGUAGUAACUUUAGUCUGUUCUUUUACCUCUCACCAUUGUUCUGCUUCUCCGACUCUUCCUGCGAGGACGAAGAAGAGCUUCGUGCAAACUUCGAGGCCAUUGAAGGCUUCAUUAUUCUCGACGUUUGCAGUGUAUCGAUAUGUCAAUCUUCAGAUUUUCAGUUUCGUAAACUUUCAUUGCGAUCUUUUCUCUUUCGGCUUGUGCAAUGGGGUGUGACGAGCAAAGGAGGGUGGAAAUAAGGAGCGAUUCUUAUAUGACGAAGAUGGUCAGCUUCUUCUAGAGGACGGUUCCUAUCAUCUUGCACAACGAUAACGGGCCUUCUCCCUUGCUCGCCAUCUAAAUCAUGUCAUCUUGUCGGUGAAUGGUUACUGGAUGUAAAGAGCAAUGCGAAGAACAGAAAUGAUGGUUAUGUGAAAAAUCAAUUACAGAGCAUUUCGGAUGCAAUCGACCUGGUCCCUUCUCUUGCCACUGGAAUAAAUGUCAAUGUCCGUUUCAGGAACAUAAAUGAUUUUGAAUCUGCACCAGUCUGCGUCAUACUUGAUCUUUUGGAUAUUGGCCUUGUUCACGGCUGGGUAGUUGAUCCUCGGGAUACUGAUGCAGCCACUGCAAAAGGAUCAAGCUCCUAUAGCACCCUUCUGGAGAAAAUUGUCUCUUGAAGCAAGCAAAGGAGGAGAUGAUAGACAUCCCGAGGAGACUUAUGUAGACUUUGUUGCUGCAACAACAGCAGCUUUAGGAGAUCCUUCGAAAAUCCUCCUAAUUGUCAUCCCUGUUCAUCAAAACAGAAGGGUGACAGAGAAAAAGUGGAACAGCUUAUGAAGGUACAAGUGAAGGUUCAUGUAUAUUAAGUUCUGAAAUUCCAGGAAUGUCCAAAAUGGUAGAAGAGCAUAACAAUGAUAAACGUGGUAGGCCCUUUGAGCCGGGAGGAAGUAAACAUGAGCACUGCACCACAUUACCUGCCUCUGUUGGUAGUGUUUUUUAGGCCAGUGUUUCAUUGCCUAAGAAAGCAUAUGACAACUCUAUGGAGAAGGGAUUAGUUAAACGAUCCGAAGAAAAUGUUUUAAGUAAUCAAGUUGAAGAAUAACGUUUCUCUGAUGGAUCAGAUGUCCUUUCUUUGGGCAAUAUCUAUGAGAGUUGCACAUAUGGCUUGAAAAGGGAUCAAGAGUUUCUGCAACACCUGCUACUUAUUAAUCAUAUAUGGGAACCACCAUCUGCCCCUUGUUCAGCAAGGACCGUAGGCAAGCCCAACGGAAGGCACAUUUGAAACGACUCGUGUCUACCUGAGAUUUGAGAAUCUGGUUAUCAACAUCCAGGAACAGUUCUUUUGGAUUGUUUCCAUGCAUGCACCCGUAGGUCAGAUAUGAGGAUCCUUUUGGAGUUUGUUGCAGACCAUAACAUUGGACACAAACUAACUUAACCUGAAGAUGAUAAUUGCUAUUCUUUAAUGUUCUGUGUUCAAGUAGAUUAUGUUUUGCUGCUGAUCACCAAACAAGUGAGGCACAUAAAGCAUUGUCAAAUAUGUUGAGCAAAGUAAUAUUAUGUCAUUAAGAACUAAUUGGAACCUUAAUGUGGACGAAAUCACACUACCAAGGCUGCUUCAUCUUGUUGGUGAAUGGUUGCUGAAUGUAAAGAGCAAUGCCAAGGUAGUCUUGUUGGUGAAACAAAUCUCUACCGAACUUGCUUGAUCUUCACUCAGACGAAAAGGUAAGUUUUGUAGAUCAGAAUCACUUUGGUUUUCACCCUCUCUCAAUUGAUCAGCCAAAUCUCCAUGAGUUCAGCUGCUACGAGGAGUCUUCUUGAAGGUUUCCCUCAUUCGCUGGGCAGGAGGUCAAAAGGGUUCGCAGUAAAACACAGAAAUGCUUCAAGCGGUUCGCGGGGAAAAAUAAAACGGGCCGGGGGCAA